CUGGGCCUGGGCGGGGCAGGGGACCGGGGACGGAGGGGCUGAACCCCGGAGGGCCCAGCGACUCAGGAACCCCACGGAUAGGGAUGGGAGAGUGACCCAAGACCCUUAGGGAUGGGGGAGGGGAGAGUGUCCCGGGACCUCCAGGGAUAGGGUUGAGGAGAGUGACCCGGAACCUCUAGGGAUGGGGGAGGGGAGAGUAACCCGGAACCCCCUAGGCAUGGGGGUGGGGAGUGACCUGGGUCCCCAUAGGGAUGGGAGAGGGGAGCGUAACCCGGGACCCGUAGGAAUGGGGAGGGUAGAGUGACCCAGGACCGCUAGGGAUGGGGACAGCAGAGUGACCCCGGAGCCCCAUGGAUGGGGAUGGGGAGAGUAACCCGGGACCCCCAGGCAUGGGGAUGGGGAGAGUAACCCGGGACCUCCAGGGUUGGGGAUGGGGAGAGUAAGCCGAGACCCCCCUAGGGAUGGGGGUGGGGAGAGUAAGCCGGGACCCCUAGGAAUGGGGAGGUCAAGUGACCCUGGACCCCCCCUAGGGGUGGGGAGAGUAACCCGGGACCCCUAGGGAUGGGGGAGGGGAGAGUGACCCGAAACCCCUAAGCAUGGGGUUGCGGGGAGUGACCCAGAACCCCCUAGGAAUGGGGAGGGCAGAGUAACCCAGGACCCCCCUAGGGAUGGGGGAGGGGAGAGUAACCUGGGACCCCCUAGGGAUGGGGGAGGGGAGAAUAAGCCGGGAUCCCCCUAGGGAUGGGGGAGGGGAGAAUAAGCCGGGAUCCCCCUAGGGAUGGGGGUAGGGAGAGUAACCCGGGACCCAAAAGGAUGGGGGAGGGGAGAGUGACUCAGAACCCCUAGGCAUGGGGUUGGGGAGAGUGACCCAGGACCCCCUAGGGAUGGGGGAGGGGAGAGUAACCCAGGACCCCCCUAGGGGUGGGGGAGGGGAGAGUAACCCAGGACCCCCCUAGGGGUGGGGGAGGGGAGAGCAACCUGGGACCCCCCUAGGGAUGGGGGUGGGGAGAGUAACCCAGGACGCCCUAGGCAUGGGGUUGGGGAGAGUGACCCGGGACCCCCUAGGGAUGGGGAGGGAGGAGUGACCUAUGACCGCUAGGGAUGGGGACAGCAGAGUGACCCCGGAGCCCCAUGGAUGGGGAUGGGGAGAGUAACCCGGGACCCCCAGGCAUGGGGAUGGGGAGAGUAACCCGGGACCUCCAGGGUUGGGGAUGGGGAGAGUAAGCCGAGACCCCCCUAGGGAUGGGUGUGGGGAGAGUAACCCGGGACCCCUAGGGAUGGGGGAGAGGAGAGUAACCCGGGACCCCUAGGAAUGAGGAGGUCAAGUGACCCGGGACCCUCCUAGGGAUGGGGGUGGGGAGAGUGACCCGAAACCCCUAGGCAUGGGGUUGCGGGGAGUGACCUAGAACCCACUAGGAAUGGGGAGGGGAGAAUAACCCGGGACCCCCUAGGGAUGGGGGAGGGGAGAGUAAGCCGGGAUCCCCCUAGGGAUGGGGGUAGGGAGAGUAACCUGGGACCCAAAAGGAUGGGGGAGGGGAGAGUGACCUGGAACCCCUAGGCAUGGGGUUGGGGAGAGUGACCCAGGACCCCCUAGGGAUGGAGGAGGGAAGAGUGACCCGGGACCCCCGAGGAAUGGGGAGGGGAGAGUGACCCAGGACCGCCUAGGGAUGGGGAAGGGGAGAGUAACCCAGGACCCCCUAGGGAUGGGGGUGGGGAGAGUAACCCAGGAUGCCCUAGGCAUGGGGUUGGGGAGAGUGACCUGGGACCCCCCUAGGGAUGGGGAGGGAGGAGUGACCCAGGACCCCCUAGGAAUGGGGAGGGGAGUGAUCCAGGACUGCCUAGGUAUGGGGGAGGGGAGAGUGACCCGGAACCCCUAGGGAUAGGGGAGGGGAGAGUGACCUGGGACCCCCUAGGAAUGGAGAGGGCAGAGUGACCCGGGACCCCUAGGGAUGGGGGUGGGGAGAGUAACCCAGCACCCCUAGGGAUGGGGGAGGGGAGAGUGAGCCAGCACCUCCUAGGAAUGGGGAGGGCAGAGUGACCCGGGACCCAUAGGGACGGGGGAGGCGAGAGUGACCCGGAACCCCCCUAGGGAUGGGGGAGGGGAGAGUGAUCCAGGACCCCCUAGGGAUGUGGGUGGGGAAAGUAACCCGGGACCCCUAGGAAUGGGGAGGGGAGAGUAACCCAGGACCCCUAGGGAUGGGGGAGGGGAGAGUAACCCGGAACCCCUAGGGAUGGGGUUGGGGAGUGUGACCCGGAACCCCCUAGGGAUGGGGGAGGGGAGAGUGACCCAGAACCCCUAGGGAUUGGGGAGGGGAGAGUGACCCAGGACGCCCUAGUGAUGGGGGAGGGGAGUGUGAUCCAGGACCUCCUAGGGAUAGGGGAGGGGAGAGUAAUCCAAGACCCCUAGGAAUGGGGGAGGGGAGAGUAACCUGGGACCCCUAGGGGUGGGGGAGGGGAGUGACCUGGGACCCCCUAGGGAUUGGGGAGGUGAGUGACUUAGGACUUCUAGGGAUGGAGUGGGCCCUGUGACUGAAGGUUGGACUUUGUAGCUGGGGUAUGGGAAGUGUUUCCUGGUGCCCCCAUGAGGAUCUUAUUGCGGGUGGCAGGACGCCUAGGCAGUGGGUGUCUGCCUCUCUCUGGAGCCCUAAUCACAUGGAGGAGAGGGUCUAGUGAUGAAGGGAUAGUUACUUGUGAUGGGGGGUAGUUACUGGUGACAGGCAGAUAGUUAUAGGUGAUGUGGGAUAGUUACUGGUAAUGGGGUGAUAGUUACUGGUGAUGGGAUAGUUACUGGUGAUGGGGGGAUAGUUACUGGUGAUGGGGGAUAGUUACUGGUGAUGAUGGGGCAUAGUUACUGGUGAUGGGGGGUAGUUACUGGGUUUGAUGAUGGGGCAUAGUUACUGGUGAUGGUGGAUAGUUACUGGUGAUGGGGGGUAGUUACUGGGUUUGAUGAUGGGGCAUAGUUACUGGUGAUGGGGGGUAGUUACUGGUGAUGUGAGGUAGUUACUGGUGAUGGCAGAGAAGUUACUGGUGAUGGUAGGGUAGUUACUGGUUGCCUAUGGAUAGUACAGUGGGGCAGGAGUCUACUCUUGGGGACUACGGACUGGAGGUCUGGUACUGUGGGAGGGGGGACACCACAUGCCUGGUCCUAGUGACGGGGAUGAGAGUGGUCGGGGUGCCUUACAGAAGGCAUGGGUCUCCAUGAUUGGGGGUGACAGGGCAUAGGGCAGGGGUCUAUAUGAUCUGGGGUUGAGAUCUGCAGGGCAGGUCCAGGGCUUGGUGACUGGUGCCCUGAAGACCAGGAUGGGCGUCAGGGCCAGGAUCUGGGGGCACCUUCAAGAGGUGAGGAGCGCUGAGGAGGGUAGAAGAGUGGAAGAAAGAUGAAAGAAGAAAAGCAGCUUCACAGUCAAAGACGGGUUUAUUUUGGAGAACAAGCCUGAGCAGGGCUUCUGGCUGAGUUAGGUCAGGAGUGUUCUCUCUUACAGACUAAGGGUAUUUAAGGGUUUAGGAAGGGGAAUCUUAUCGCAGGCUCGGAAUGUUUCCCUGUGAGGCAAAGUUGACUGAGGUGUUGGAAUGUCUCUGGUCUGAAGGAGGUUAUCUUGGGCUUGGGAUGUUUCUGGUCAGAGGCGGUUUAUUUCAGGCUUUCACUGUUUCUGGUCAUGCUGACAUUAGCCAUUAGGCUGAUGUUUGGGGGCUGGUUUUAGGCAGUUUUUAAUCAAGGGAACUUAAAAUGGCAGUGCUUGUCCAAGAUGGCAGUGUGUGUCCAAGAUGGUGGUGUGUGUCAAAGAUGGCCAUGCAUGUCCAAGAUGGCAGUGCUUGUCCAAGAUGGUGGUGCUUAUCCAAGAUGGCGGUGUGUGUCCAAGAUGGUGGUGCUUAUCCAAGAUGGUGGUGUGUGUCCCAGAUGGUGUGUGUCCAAGAUGGCGGUGCUUCUCCAAGAUGGCAGUGUGUCCAAGAUGGUGUGUCUCCAAGAUGGUGGUGCUUAUCCAAGAUGGCGGUGUUUGUCCAAGAUGGUGGUGCUUAUCCAAGAUGGCAGUGUGUGUCCAAGAUGAUGGUGCUUAUCCAAGAUGGCAGUGUGUGUCCAAGAUGGUGGUGCUUAUCCAAGAUGGUGUUGUGUGUCCAAGAUGGUGUCUGUCCAAGAUGGUGGUGUGUGUCCAAGAUGGUGGUGUGUGUCAAAGAUGGCCAUGCAUGUCCAAGAUGGCAGUGCUUGUCUAAGAUGGUGUGUGUCCAAGAUGGUGGUGCUUAUCCAAGAUGGCCGUGUGUGUCCAAGAUGGUGUGUGUCCAAGAUGGUGGUGCUUCUCCAAGAUGGCGGUGUGUGUCCAAGAUGUUGUGUGGACAAGAUGGUGGUGCUUUUCCAAGAUGGUGGUGUGUAUCCAAGAUGGCGGCAUGUCCAAGAUGGCGGUGUGUCCAAGAUGGUGGUGCUUGUCCAAGAUGGUGUUAUGGGUCCAAGAUGGCAGUGUGUGUCCCAAAUGGUGUGUGUCCAAGAUGGUGGUGCUUAUCCAAGAUGGCUGUGUGUGUCCAAGAUGGUGGUGCUUAUCCAAGAUGGCCGUGUGUGUCCAAGAUGGUGGUGCUUAUCCAAGAUGGCUGUGUGUGUCCAAGAUGGUGGUGCUUAUCCAAGAUGGCCGUGUGUGUCCAAGAUGGUGUGUGUCCAAGAUGGUGGUGCUUAUCCAAGAUGGUGGUGUGUGUCCAAGAUGGUGGUGCGUGUCAAAGAUGGCCAUGCAUGUCCAAGAUGGUGUGUGUCCAAGAUGGUGGUGCUUAUCCAAGAUGGCGGUGUGUGUCCAAGAUGGUGGUGCUUAUCCAAGAUGGUGGUGUGUGUCCAAGAUGGUGGUGCGUGUCAAAGAUGGCCAUGCAUGUCCAAGAUGGUGUGUGUCCAAGAUGGUGGUGCUUAUCCAAGAUGGUGGUGUGUGUCCAAGAUGGUGGUGCGUGUCAAAGAUGGCCAUGCAUGUCCAAGAUGGUGUGUGUCCAAGAUGGUGGUGCUUAUCCAAGAUGGCCGUGUGUGUCCAAGAUGGUGUGUGUCCAAGAUGCUGGUGCUUAUCCAAGAUGGCCGUGUGUGUCCAAGAUGGUGUGUGUCCAAGAUGGUGGUGCUUAUCCAAGAUGGCAGUGUGUGUCCAAGAUGGUGGUGCGUGUCAAAGAUGGCCAUGCAUGUCCAAGAUGGUGUGUGUCCAAGAUGGUGGUGCUUAUCCAAGAUGGCCGUGUGUGUCCAAGAUGGUGUGUGUCCAAGAUGCUGGUGCUUAUCCAAGAUGGCCGUGUGUGUCCAAGAUGGUGUGUGUCCAAGAUGGUGGUGUGUGUCCAAGAUGGUGGUGCUUAUCCAAGAUGGCAGUGUGUGUCCAAGAUGAUGGUGCUUAUCCAAGAUGGUGGUGUGUGUCCCAGAUGGUGUGUGUCCAAGAUGGCGGUGCUUCUCCAAGAUGGCAGUGUGUCCAAGAUGGUGUGUCUCCAAGAUGGUGGUGCUUAUCCAAGAUGGCGGUGUGUGUCCAAGAUGGUGGUGCUUAUCCAAGAUGGCAGUGUGUGUCCAAGAUGAUGGUGCUUAUCCAAGAUGGCAGUGUGUGUCCAAGAUGGUGGUGCUUAUCCAAGAUGGUGUUGUGUGUCCAAGAUGGUGUCUGUCCAAGAUGGUGGUGCUUGUCCAAGAUGGUGGUGCUUGUCCAAGAUGGUGUUAUGGGUCCAAGAUGGCAGUGUGUGUCCCAAAUGGUGUGUGUCCAAGAUGGUGGUGCUUAUCCAAGAUGGCUGUGUGUGUCCAAGAUGGUGGUGCUUAUCCAAGAUGGCCGUGUGUGUCCAAGAUGGUGUGUGUCCAAGAUGGUGGUGCUUAUCCAAGAUGGUGGUGUGUGUCCAAGAUGGUGGUGCGUGUCAAAGAUGGCCAUGCAUGUCCAAGAUGGUGUGUGUCCAAGAUGGUGGUGCUUAUCCAAGAUGGCCGUGUGUGUCCAAGAUGGUGUGUGUCCAAGAUGGUGGUGCUUAUCCAAGAUGGCGGUGUGUGUCCAAGUUGUUGUGUGGCCAAGAUGGUGGUGCUUUUCCAAGAUGGUGGUGUGUAUCCAAGAUGGCGGCAUGUCCAAGAUGGCGGUGUGUCCAAGAUGGUGGUGCUUGUCCAAGAUGGUGUUAUGGGUCCAAGAUGGCAGUGUGUGUCCCAAAUGGUGUGUGUCCAAGAUGGUGGUGCUUAUCCAAGAUGGCCGUGUGUGUCCAAGAUGGUGUGUGUCCAAGAUGGUGGUGCUUAUCCAAGAUGGUGGUGUGUGUCCAAGAUGGUGGUGUGUGUCAAAGAUGGCCAUGCAUGUCCAAGAUGGUGUCUGUCCAAGAUGGUGGUGCUUAUCCAAGAUGGCCGUGUGUGUCCAAGAUGGUGUGUGUCCAAGAUGGUGGUGCUUAUCCAAGAUGGCCGUGUGUGUCCAAGAUGGUGUGUGUCCAAGAUGGUGGUGCUUAUCCAAGAUGGUGGUGUGUGUCCAAGAUGGUGUGUCUCCAAGAUGGUGGUGCUUAUCCAAGAUGGCAGUGUGUGUCCAAGAUGGCGGUGUGUGUCCAAGAUGGUGGUGCUUAUCCAAGAUGGCAGUGUGUGUCCAAGAUGGUGUGUGUCCAAGAUGGUGGUGCUUAUUCAAGAUGGCGGUGUCUCUGCAAGAUGUUGUGUGUCCAAGAUGGUGGUGUGUAUCCAAGAUGGUGGCGUGUCCAAGAUGGCGGUGUGUCCAAGAUGGUGAUGCUUGUCCAAGAUGGUGUUAUGGGUCCAAGAUGGCAGUGUGUGUCCCAGAUGGUGUGUGUCCAAGAUGUUGGUGCUUAUCCAAGAUGGCGGUGUGUGUCCAAGAUGGUGGUGCUUGUCCAAGAUGGUGGUGCUUAUCCAAGAUGGCCGUGUGUGUCCAAGAUGGUGUGUGUCCAAGAUGGUGGUGCUUAUCCAAGAUGGCGGUGUGUGUCCAAGAUGGCGGCGUGUGUGCAAGAUGGUGGUGCUUAUCCAAGAUGGCUGUGUGUGUCCAAGAUGGUGUGUGUCCAAGAUGGUGGUGCUUAUCCAAGAUGGCAGUGUGUGUCCAAGAUGUUGUGUGUCCAAGGUGGUGGUGCUUUUUCAAGAUGGUGGUGUGUAUCCAAGCUGGCAGUGUGUCCAAGAUGGCGGUGCUUGUCCAAGAUGGUGUUAUGGGUCCAAGAUGGCAGUGUGUGUCCCAGAUGGUGUGUGUCCAAGAUGGUGGUGCUUAUCCAAGAUGGCAGUGUGUGUCCAAGAUGUUGUGUGUCCAAGGUGGUGGUGCUUUUUCAAGAUGGUGGUGUGUAUCCAAGCUGGCAGUGUGUCCAAGAUGACGGUGCUUGUCCAAGAUGGUGUUAUGGGUCCAAGAUGGCAGUGUGUGUCCCAGAUGGUGUGUGUCCAAGAUGGUGGUGCUUAUCCAAGAUGGCAGUGUGUGUCCAAGAUGGUGUGUGUCCAAGAUGGUGGUGCUUAUCCAAGAUGAUGGUGUGUGUCCCAGAUGGUGUGUGUCCAUGAUGGCGGUGCUUCUCCAAGAUGGCAGUGUGUGUCCAAGAUGGUGUGUCUCCAAGAUGGUGGUGCUUGUCCAAGAUGGCGGUGUGUGUCCAAGAUGGUGGUGCUUAUCCAAGAUGGCAGUGUGUGUCCAAGAUGGUGUGUGUCCAAGAUGGUGGUGCUUAUCCAAGAUGGCGGUAUGUGUCCAAGAUGUUGUGUGGCCAAGAUGGUGGUGCUUUUCGAAGAUGGUGGUGUGUAUCCAAGAUGGCGGCAUGUCCAAGAUGGCGGUGUGUCCAAGAUGGUGGUGCUUGUCCAAGAUGGUGUUAUGGGUCCAAGAUGGCAGUGUGUGUCCCAAAUGGUGUGUGUCCAAGAUGGUGGUGCUUAUCCAAGAUGGCCGUGUGUGUCCAAGAUGGUGUGUGUCCAAGAUGGUGGUGCUUAUCCAAGAUGGCCGUGUGUGUCCAAGAUGGUGUGUGUCCAAGAUGGUGGUGCUUAUCCAAGAUGGUGGUGUGUGUCCAAGAUGGUGGUGUGUGUCAAAGAUGGCCAUGCAUGUCCAAGAUGGUGUGUGUCCAAGAUGGUGGUGCUUAUCCAAGAUGGCCGUGUGUGUCCAAGAUGAUGUGUCUCCAAGAUGGUGGUGCUUAUCCAAGAUGGCAGUGUGUGUCCAAGAUGGCGGCGUGUGUCCAAGAUGGUGGUGCUUAUCCAAGAUGGCAGUGUGUGUCCAAGAUGGUGUGUGUCCAAGAUGGUGGUGCUUAUCCAAGAUGGCGGUGUCUGUGCAAGAUGUUGUGUGUCCAAGAUGGUGGUGCUUUUCCAAGAUGGUGGUGUGUAUCCAAGAUGGCGGCAUGUCCAAGAUGGUGAUGCUUGUCCAAGAUGGUGUUAUGGGUCCAAGAUGGCAGUGUGUGUCCCAAAUGGUGUGUGUCCAAGAUGGUGGUGCUUAUCCAAGAUGGCCGUGUGUGUCCAAGAUGGUGUGUGUCCAAGAUGGUGGUGCUUAUCCAAGAUGGCCGUGUGUGUCCAAGAUGGUGUGUGUCCAAGAUGGUGGUGCUUAUCCAAGAUGGCCGUGUGUGUCCAAGAUGGUGUGUCUCCAAGAUGGUGGUGCUUAUCCAAGAUGGCAGUGUGUGUCCAAGAUGGCGGCGUGUGUCCAAGAUGGUGGUGCUUAUCCAAGAUGGCAGUGUGUGUCCAAGAUGGUGUGUGUCCAAGAUGGUGGUGCUUAUUCAAGAUGGCGGUGUCUGUGCAAGAUGUUGUGUGUCCAAGAUGGUGGUGCUUUUCCAAGAUGGUGGUGUGUAUCCAAGAUGGCGGCGUGUCCAAGAUGGCGGUGUGUCCAAGAUGGUGAUGCUUGUCCAAGAUGGUGUUAUGGGUCCAAGAUGGCAGUGUGUGUCCCAGAUGGUGUGUGUCCAAGAUGUUGGUGCUUAUCCAAGAUGGCGGUGUGUGUCCAAGAUGGUGGUGCUUGUCCAAGAUGGUGGUGCUUAUCCAAGAUGGCCGUGUGUGUCCAAGAUGAUGUGUCUCCAAGAUGGUGGUGCUUAUCCAAGAUGGCAGUGUGUGUCCAAGAUGGCGGCAUGUGUCCAAGAUGGUGGUGCUUAUCCAAGAUGGCAGUGUGUGUCCAAGAUGGUGUGUGUCCAAGAUGGUGGUGCUUCUCCAAGAUGGCGGUGUGUCCAAGAUGGUGGUGCUUUUCCAAGAUGGUGGUGUGUAUCCAAGAUGGCGGCAUGUCCAAGAUGGUGAUGCUUGUCCAAGAUGGUGUUAUGGGUCCAAGAUGGCAGUGUGUGUCCCAGAUGGUGUGUGUCCAAGAUGUUGGUGCUUAUCCAAGAUGGCGGUGUGUGUCCAAGAUGGUGGUGCUUGUCCAAGAUGGUGGUGCUUAUCCAAGAUGGCCGUGUGUGUCCCAGAUGAUGUGUCUCCAAGAUGGUGGUGCUUAUCCAAGAUGGCAGUGUGUGUCCAAGAUGGCGGCGUGUGUCCAAGAUGGUGGUGCUUAUCCAAGAUGGCAGUGUGUGUCCAAGAUGGUGUGUGUCCAAGAUGGUGGUGCUUAUCCAAGAUGGCGGUGUCUGUGCAAGAUGUUGUGUGUCCAAGAUGGUGGUGCUUAUCCAAGAUGGCGGUGUGUGUCCAAGAUGGUGUGUCUCCAAGAUGGUGGUGCUUCUCCAAGAUGGCCGUGUGUGUCCAAGAUGGUGUGUGUCCAAGAUGGUGGUGCUUCUCCAAGAUGGCUGUGUGUGUCCAAGACAGUGUGUGUCCAAGAUGGUGGUGCUUCUCCAAGAUGGCGGUGUGUCCAAGAUGGUGUGUCUCCAAGAUGGUGGUGGUUAUCCAAGAUGGCCGUGUGUGUCCGAGAUGGUGUGUGUCCAAGAUGGUGGUGCUUCUCCAAGAUGGCUGUGUGUGUCCAAGACAGUGUGUGUCCAAGAUGGUGGUGCUUCUCCAAGAUGGCGGUGUGUCCAAGAUGGUGGUGCUUAUCCAAGAUGGUGGUGUGUAUCCAAGAUGGCCGUGCUUGUCCAAGAUGGUGUAAUGGGUCCAAGAUGGCAGUGUGUGUCGAAGAUGGCAAUGCUCCUGCUCUGUGAAUCCAGACCCUCUAGUUAUAACAGGACGAGGGCUGGUAUGUUCUUUCUGGCCACUUCCUGCUGAGGGAGGUGGUUAUUACGGGUCACCAAACACAGCCCUGGAGGGGAACAGGUUGAUUUGUUCCUGGUAGCACUCUUUAGGGGCCUUCCACGCAGCACCUGUUGAAACAUCUAGGUUUCAGUUCACAGGGCUUUAAGAAAGCAGAACUUGGGGUUUCAGAGGUUUUCCGUUAGGAAAAAUUGGAGAAAAAGAAAAAGGAAAAGAAUGCAAAACAUUAUCUUGGAGACAUGUAGCCAGAAAAAUUAGAAUUUAAUUCAAACCGUAGAAAAGAAUAAAAAACUGAAAACCAUUAGGCAAGACUAGAAUUUCACCACAGGGGUAACUGUCGUUUUUCAAACACGAUUUUUCUUUUUCCAGUUUUCCCACUUUUAUUAAAAGACAAAUUAUGGGCUGGGUGUGGUGGCUCACGCCUAUAAUCCCAGCACUUUGGGAGGCCGAGGUUGGCGGAUCACAAGGUCAGGAGAUCGAGACCAUCCUGGCUAACAUGGUGAAACCCCGUCUCUACUAAAAUUACAAAAAAUUAGCCGGGCGUGGUGGCGGCGCCUGCAGUCCCAGAUACUCGGGAGGCUGAGGCAGGACAAUGGCGUGAACCCGGGAGAUGGAGCUUGCAGUGAGCCGAGAUCGCGCCACUGCACUCCAGCCUGGGCGACAGAGCGAGACUCCGUGUCAAAAAGAAAAAAAAAAAAGACAAAUUAUGGUAGGACUGGUUUGCUUUAUUAUACUUGGCCUAAUUAUAUGUAUACAGUGCAGCAAGAGUAAUUAUUAUUUUUACUUUUAUUUAUUUCCUUAUUGACUUAUUUAUUUUGAGACGGAGUCUCGCUCUGUCGCCCAGGCUGGAGUGCAGUGGCGCGAUCUCAGUUCACUGCAGUCUCCGCCCUGCCGGGUUCAGGCGAUUCUCCUCGUCAGGGGUUAAUAUUAUUAUUAUUUUAACCACCAGGGCUGGGUGGUGGUGCCAAGGUCAUCUGGCUAUUUAUCUUCCUUCUGUUUCUUUUCCAACUUUCUGCUUUCUCCCUUUUGUCCUGUCUUAUAAAGUAGGGAAAAGGGGAGGCUGGGGAGAAGCUGGGAACGACAACAGGAGAAGUAGUGGUCUCAUUUCAUAAAACCAGGCGCAUGAGUCCCUGGUCCCUGGUAAGACAACGAAUCUCAGAUGGGACCUUUUUUAAGCUGAGCCCAGUCAUGGGUUUGUACCAUUAAAUACCUAUGAGUUGGGCAGAUUCCUUUCCUCUUGAGGUUCCAAGAAAACUUGGGGUUCUGGGCCUGUCAGAAACUGACAUUCUUUUCUUAUCACAGGUCAGAAACCCUGUACAGGGACUGUGUACACAAAAUAGGCCAGUUUUCCUUUAAAGGAAAGCACACCAUUCCAGUCAAAGCUUUGGUAAAAUGACCAGUUUUUCCAAUUGUGUCCCCUUAUUAAAGAAAACAGAUUUUUAUCACACUUAUGCACAUAUUUAUAUUGCCAUAAAUUAAGAAGACUCAAGGCUGGGCGCGGUGGCUCACGCCUGUAAUCCCAGCAUUUUGGGAGGCCGAGGUGGGUGGAUCACGAGGUCAGGAGUUCGAGACCAUCCUAGCUAACAUGGUGAAACCCCAUCUCUACUAAAAAUACAAAAAAUUAGCUGGGUGUGGUGGCGGGCGCCUGUAGUCCCAGCUACUUGGGAGGCUGAGGCAGGAGAAUCGCUUGAACCCGGGAGGCAGAGGUUGCAGUGAACCGAGAUGGCACCACUGCACUCCAGCCUGGGCAACAGAGCAAGACUCCAUCUCAAAAAAAAAAAAAAAUGUCAUGAGAUGUAGGGACCAGCCCCACAGGGUCGGUGGGUCUCUCCCUGUGUGCGGAGGCAAGAGAGUGUAGAAAUAGACACAAGACAAAGAGAUAAAAGAAAAGGCAGCUGGGCCCGGGGGACCACUACCACCAAGACGCGGAGACUGGUAGUGGCCCCGAAUGCCAGGCUUUGCUGAUAUUUAUUGGAUACAAGACAAAGGAGCAGGGUAAGGAGUGUGAGCCAUCUCCAAUGACAGGUAAGGUCACGUGGGUCACGUGUCCACUGGACAGGGGGCCCUUCCCUGCCUGGCAGCCGAGGCAGAGAGAGAGAGGAGGAGGAGAGAGACACCUUACACUAUUAUUUCUGCUUAUCAGAGACUUUUAGUACUUUCACUAAUUUGCUACUGCUAUCUAAAAGGCAGAGCCAGGUGUACAGGAUGGAACAUGAAGGCAGACUAGGAGCAUGACCACUGAAGCACAGCAUCACAGGGAGACGGUUAGGCCUCUGGAUAACUGCGGGUGGGUCUGACUGAUGUCAGGUCCUCCACAGGAGGUGGAGGAGUAGAGUCCUCUCUAAACUCCCCCGGGGAAAGGGAGACUCCCUUUCCCGGUCUGCUAAGUAGCGGGUGUUGUUCCUUGACACUGACGCUACCGCUAGACCACGGUCCGCCUGGCAACGGGCGUCUUCCCAGACGCUGGCGUUACCGCUAGACCAAGGAGCCCUCUGGUGACCCUGUCUGGGCAUAACAGAAGGCUCGCACUCGUCUUCUGGUCACUCCUCACUAUGUCCCCUCAGCUCCUAUCUCUGUAUGGCCUGGCUUUUCCUACAUUAUGAUCCUAGAGCAAGGAUUAUUAUAAUAUUGGUAUAAAGAGUAAUUACUACCAACUAAUGAUUAAUGAUAUUCAUAUAUAACCAUAUCUAAGAUCUAUAUCUGGUACAACUUUCUCGUUUUAUAUUUUAUUAUAUACCGGAAGAGCUCGUGUCCUCGGUCUCUUGCCUCGGCACCUGGGUGGCUUGCCGCCCACAAUGAAGGUGCAACUUGACAUAGGGAGGGUAGAAGAUAGCCUGAGUAUAGGGAACCUCUUGCCAUUUCCUGGUGAUAAAGUUGUCAAGGUCCCUGAGAAUUUGCAAGUUAAAGGUGCCAUGUUCGGGCCAUCUGCUGUCAUUAUGUAGUUUGUAUUGGUGCCAGACUAUUGCAAUAAAAAAUUCAACACUCUGGCUUUAGGUUCCUCUGUAAGCCAAGUUUGGCCAGGUUGGAAAGGAGACAUCCCAGAGGGGACGACAUAGGAAUGUCGGGUUGUUUGGCACCCACGUGGGCUGGUAAAAGGAAGCCGAGAGUGUCUGUUUGUGUUUUAGGCAACCCCAGACAAAAGACAGAGACCCAGAAUCCUCUUUAUAAGGAGGACGGUCAAGCUGAGAAGAUACUGGGCAUCCCUCAGGAUCGCUUGUAGCUUAGGGCCGCUGGUCCUCCGAGGACCGGGAUGGCCGACCUGACUUUAACUGGGAACCAAAAGUCAGAGGAGGGCAGAUCUUACCAGCCGGCUGGAUUUGUGUCUGAUGUUGGAUGUUCCUGUUGGAAUUGGCAAAGGGGCUCCCAAACUGGAGCCGCGCAGGGAAAACAGAGAGAGAGAGAAGAGGGAAGAAGACAGAGGAAGAGAGAGGAAGACGAAGCAAGGGUUAGGGAGCGAAGUACCUGUUGCAGGGGGUCAGAGGUGGAUUUCUGAGACCUGAGGGUUUUGAGAACCCUCCAGCUUGAGCCUCCAAGUCCCCUUUACAUGAGUUGUCUUCCUCACAGAAAUUGCUUGGAAGGUGAAUGGAGAGAAAAGAUGGGAGGGGUGGCCAGCGACCCUCACGAUCCAGGAGUUAGCCCAGGAUGAGAUGCUGCUGCCCACAGCUUCCUGGGUUGCAAGAGAACCUCCACUCCCAACACUCAAAGAGGGACACAGAGAGAGGACAGGGUCAGGGGGCCAGAGGCUCUAAAGGAUCCAGGAGUUAGCCCAGGACGGGCUGCCCCUGCCCACUGCAUCCUGGGUUGCAAAAGGGCCUCUGUCCGUAACACCUGUCCUGGGUUUCGGCACCAAAUAUAA